GCAAUGUAAGAUCUGGUUGUUCCAUCUUUUGAUAAAUUUUACCUGUUGGGUAAAGGUGAAAUCACAGUGUGGAAUAGGACUGCAGAAUAGAGCGUUAUUCAAUAAUGCAUUAUUGAAACAACCACUAUUUGAUGUUGCGGAAUAGCGAGUACAUCAUUGUUCUUGUAAUGAACCAUCAUAUUUUGAGAGGUUAAAAUAAUUUAAUGCUGAUUGAUAUGAUGGAAUUGCAUAAUAUCGAAGCAAAAUGACAAAAUCUGAGUGCCUAAAUAUAAAUACAAAGAUCAAAAAAAUAAUUAUGCAUUACGUGCGAUUUCAGUGUGUCCUUUUUCGCACUUAUUUUUAACGUCAAUGUCUAGUGUCAUGCUUAGCGCCGAGCUACUACCAUGUCUGCAGAUUGUGCACAAUUACAUCAACUUGACAAGUCCAAUCUUUGUGUCGACUGGGUAGUUUCAAUGCUGCCUGUGUUCCAAACGAGUACAUGAACAAUGCAGGAGCUGAUUACUCUGAGGGUUGUUCGCGUCGCACACUCCAACAUGCCCACCCCGCUCGCAAUACGUUCGCGUCACCAGGACUAAUAUGGCGACUAGAUGUUCGCGUCGCGUUAGAGCAUAUGGAUCAAUUAAGAGUAUGCUCCAUUUGCUUCACCUCAGAAGAUAGUACGAUUGGAGCAUGUUAUGCACGCAUACGUAAUAGUUGAAAACGUACUGUAUCGAAAAAAAUAUUUCAGAUUCAUUUUGUAUAAAAACGCAUUUAAUAAAU
rnacentral:misc_RNA from 1 species